rnacentral:rRNA from 1 species
AGAAUCAACGCUGGCGGCGUGCCUAACACAUGCAAAUCGAACGAGAAAGUGGGAGCAAUCCCAUUAGUAAAGUGGCGCACGGGUGAGUAACACGUGACUAACCUACCCUUGAGUGGGGGAUAACCUAGGGAAAACCUGGGCUAAUACCGCAUAAUACCUACGGGUCAAAGGAGCAAUUCGCUUUAGGAGGGGUCGCGGCAGAUUAGUUAGUUGGCGGGGUAAUGGCCCACCAAGACAGUGAUCUGUA